rnacentral:rRNA from 1 species
AGGGUUAAUAACAGAUUAAAAAAAGCAUUUCCAUAGGCGCAAAAGGCUAUGGAGAGAAGAAAGUAAGAAAGAGUACACAGGGGAUGCCUUGGCUCUCAGAGGCGAUGAAGGACGUGAUAAGCUGCGAUAAGCUCCGGGGAUUAGCAAAUAUGAAUUAAUCCGGAGAUUUCCGAAUGGGGAAACCUGGCUAGUUGAAGACUAGUCGCAUUACGAUGCGCAAACCUGCCGAACUGAAACAUCUAAGUAAGCAGAGGAAGAGAAAAUAAUAAUGAUUUCCUAAGUAGUGGCGAGCGAACGGGAAAGAGCCCAAACCAGUUAUGUUACGGCAUAGCUGGGGUUGUAGGACUACAAUAUGGCAUUAAUGAAAUGAAGUGGAACAGGAUGGGAAGCCUGGCAAGAUAGCGUGAGAGCCGCGUACACGUAAGUAACAUUAGUCUAGUAGUAUCCUGAGUACCGCGAGGUCGGAGACGCCUUGUGGGAAUCUGCCGGCACCAUCCGGUAAGGCUAAAUACUCCUGAGAGACCGAUAGUGAACCAGUACCGUGAGGGAAAGGUGAAAAGAACCCCGAACAGGGGAGUGAAAUAGAACCUGAAACUGUGUACUUACAAGCGGUCGGAGCGUCCAGGUGGCGUGACGGCGUGCCUUUUGCAUAAUGAGCCUACGAGUUACUCUUCUCUGGCAAGGUUAAGUGUUUAAGACACGCAGCCGAAGCGAAAGCGAGUCUGAAUAGGGCGUAUAGUCAGGGGAGGUAGACGCGAAACCUUGUGAUCUACCCAUGGACAGGUUGAAGGUGCGGUAACACGUACUGGAGGACCGAACCGAUAAACGUUGAAAAGUUUCCGGAUGAUCUGUGGGUAGGGGUGAAAGGCUAAUCAAACUGGGAAAUAGCUCGUACUCCCCGAAAUGUUUUUAGGAACAGCGUGGUGGUAAAGUUUAAUAGAGGUAGAGCUACUGAUUGGGUGCGGGGGAGUCAAAUCCUACCAAAUCCAGACAAACUCCGAAUGCUAUUAAAUAUACACUGCAGUGAGGCCCGGGGUGCUAAGGUCACGGGCCGAGAGGGAAAGAACCCAGACCAUCAGCUAAGGUCCCCAAGUUACUACUAAGUUGAACUAACGAGGUGCGAUUGCCUAGACAGCUAGGAUGUUGGCUUGGAAGCAGCCAUUCAUUUAAAGAGUGCGUAACAGCUCACUAGUCGAGCGAUCGUGCAUGGAUAAUAAACGGGCAUAAAGUAGUACACCGAAGCUAUGGGUAAUAUU